rnacentral:rRNA from 1 species
GACGAACGCUGGCGGCGUGCCUAAUACAUGCAAGUCGAACGCAAAACUUUCACCGAAUGCUUGCAUUCACGAAAGUUUUGAGUGGCGAACGGGUGAGUAACACGUGGGUAACCUGCCCAGAAGAGGGGGAUAACACUUGGAAACAGGUGCUAAUGCCGCAUAAUAACAAAAACCGCAUGGUUUUUGUUUGAAAGAUGGUUUUGCUAUCACUUCUGGAUGGACCCGCGGCGUAUUAGCUAGUUGGUAAGGUAAAGGCUUACCAAGGCAAUGAUACGUAGCCGAACUGAGAGGUUGAUCGGCCACAUUGGGACUGAGACACGGCCCAAACUCCUACGGGAGGCAGCAGUAGGGAAUCUUCCACAAUGGACGAAAGUCUGAUGGAGCAACGCCGCGUGAGUGAAGAAGGUUUUCGGAUCGUAAAACUCUGUUGUUAGAGAAGAACGUGUGUGAGAGUAACUGCUCAUGCAGCGACGGUAUCUAACCAGAAAGCCACGGCUAACUACGUGCCAGCCGCCGCGGUAA